GGGCGAUUAGCUCAGUUGGUAGAGCGCGUCGGUUACACCGAUGAUGUCGGCGGUUCGAGUCCGUCAUCGCCCACCA
rnacentral:tRNA from 1 species